UGUGGCUCAGUGGUAGAGUGCUUGCCUAACAUGCAGGAAGCCCUGGGUUUGAUUCCUCAGCA
rfam:Dipodomys ordii contig_41186, whole genome shotgun sequence.